AUGAAUAUGGCCAACAGUCCCCCUAAAGUGAGCGUCCUGCCACCGUCCAGUGAAGAGAUUUCCACAAAGCAAACAGCAACACUGAUGUGUGUGGCCAACAAGGGCUUCCCCUCCGACUGGAGUCUGAACUGGAAGGUGGACGGGAUCAGCAGCAGGUCUCAGUACAGCAGUGUUGCUCUCCUGGAGAAGGACGGUCUGUACAGCUGGAGCAGCAGUCUGACUCUCUCUGAGCAGGAGUGGAGCUCAGUGAUCUCAGUCAGCUGUGAGCUCACACAGAAAGACCAGCGUGAUAAAGUCACUGGAGAAUUGAGGAGAGAUCAGUGUUCACAGUAG